rnacentral:rRNA from 1 species
GAUGAACGCUGGCGGUAUGCUUAACACAUGCCAGUCGAACGGACUCUUCGGAGUUAGUGGCGGACGGGUGAGUAACGCGUGAGAAUCUGGCUUUGGGUUCGGGACAACCACUGGAAACGGUGGCUAAUACCGGAUGUGCCGAGAGGUAAAAGAGAAAUUGCCUGAAGAUGAGCUCGCGUCUGAUUAGCUAGUUGGUGAGGUAAAGGCUCACCAAGGCAGCGAUCAGUAGCUGGUCUGAGAGGAUGACCAGCCACACUGGGACUGAGACACGGCCCAGACUCCUACGGGAGGCAGAAGUGGGGAAUUUUCCGCAAUGGGCGAAAGCCUGACGGAGCAAUACCGCGUGAGGGAAGAAGGCUCUUGGGUUGUAAACCUCUUUUCUUAGGGAAGAACAAAAUGACGGUACCUAAGGAAUCAGCAUCGGCUAACUCCGUG